AAAAUGGCAUCUGAAGGCAGACAUUCCCAAGCACAGAGCUGUUAUCUAGUCAGUCUUCCUUUUUGAGAGAACUUGAACUGGAGUCUUUAACCAAGAUCUGCUUGGUUUCAUCAGCAAUCCAGUUCCUCUCUACAAUCUAACCUGGGACCCAUUCAAAGGAAUCAACUGC